GGGUGACGAGCGGCGGACGGGUGAGUAAUGUCUGGGAAACUGCCUGAUGGAGGGGGAUAACUACUGGAAACGGUAGCUAAUACCGCAUAACGUCGCAAGACCAAAGAGGGGGACCUUCGGGCCUCUUGCCAUCAGAUGUGCCCAGAUGGGAUUAGCUAGUAGGUGGGGUAAUGGCUCACCUAGGCGACGAUCCCUAGCUGGUCUGAGAGGAUGACCAGCCACACUGGAACUGAGACACGGUCCAGACUCCUACGGGAGGCAGCAGUGGGGAAUAUUGCACAAUGGGCGCAAGCCUGAUGCAGCCAUGCCGCGUGUAUGAAGAAGGCCUUCGGGUUGUAAAGUACUUUCAGCGAGGAGGAAGGCAUUGUGGUUAAUAACCACAGUGAUUGACGUUACUCGCAGAAGAAGCACCGGCUAACUCCGUGCCAGCAGCCGCGGUAAUACGGAGGGUGCAAGCGUUAAUCGGAAUUACUGGGCGUAAAGCGCACGCAGGCGGUCUGUCAAGUCGGAUGUGAAAUCCCCGGGCUCAACCUGGGAACUGCAUUCGAAACUGGCAGGCUAGAGUCUUGUAGAGGGGGGUAGAAUUCCAGGUGUAGCGGUGAAAUGCGUAGAGAUCUGGAGGAAUACCGGUGGCGAAGGCGGCCCCCUGGACAAAGACUGACGCUCAGGUGCGAAAGCGUGGGGAGGCAAACAGGAUUAGAUACCCUGGUAGUCCACGCCGUAAACGAUGUCGACUUGGAGGUUGUUCCCUUGAGGAGUGGCUUCCGGAGCUAACGCGUUAAGUCGACCGCCUGGGGAGUACGGCCGCAAGGUUAAAACUCAAAUGAAUUGACGGGGGCCCGCACAAGCGGUGGAGCAUGUGGUUUAAUUCGAUGCAACGCGAAGAACCUUACCUACUCUUGACAUCCAGAGAACUUAGCAGAGAUGCUUUGGUGCCUUCGGGAACUCUGAGACAGGUGCUGCAUGGCUGUCGUCAGCUCGUGUUGUGAAAUGUUGGGUUAAGUCCCGCAACGAGCGCAACCCUUAUCCUUUGUUGCCAGCGGUUCGGCCGGGAACUCAAAGGAGACUGCCAGUGAUAAACUGGAGGAAGGUGGGGAUGACGUCAAGUCAUCAUGGCCCUUACGAGUAGGGCUACACACGUGCUACAAUGGCAUAUACAAAGAGAAGCGACCUCGCGAGAGCAAGCGGACCUCACAAAGUAUGUCGUAGUCCGGAUCGGAGUCUGCAACUCGACUCCGUGAAGUCGGAAUCGCUAGUAAUCGUAGAUCAGAAUGCUACGGUGAAUACGUUCCCGGGCCUUGUACACACCGCCCGUCACACCAUGGGAGUGGGUUGCAAAAGAAGUAGGUAGC
rnacentral:rRNA from 1 species